rnacentral:rRNA from 1 species
GUGGGGAAUAUUGGACAAUGGGGGAAACCCUGAUCCAGCCAUGCCGCGUGUGUGAAGAAGGCUUUCGGGUUGUAAAGCACUUUCAGUGAGGAGGAAAAGUUAGUCCUUAAUACGGGCUAGCCUUGACGUUACUCACAGAAGAAGCACCGGCUAACUCCGUGCCAGCAGCCGCGGUAAUACGGAGGGUGCAAGCGUUAAUCGGAAUUACUGGGCGUAAAGCGCGCGUAGGUGGUUUGAUAAGCGAGAUGUGAAAGCCCCGGGCUUAACCUGGGAACGGCAUUUCGAACUGUCAGGCUAGAGUGUGGUAGAGGGUAGUGGAAUUUCCUGUGUAG